AAAGAUACACUGUCCACAGUGUGUUUGAUAAGCUGACAUGGGAAAUAAUUUCUUUUCACUGUUGUGUCAGUGUAUUGAACCCAUACUUGGACAUC
rnacentral:pre_miRNA from 1 species